GGGCCCGCACAAGCGGUGGAGCAUGUGGUUUAAUUCGAUGAUACGCGAGGAACCUUACCAGGGCUUAAAUGUAAGUUGCAUAGAUCAGAGAUGGUCUUUUCUUCGGACUACUUACAAGGUGCUGCAUGGUUGUCGUCAGCUCGUGCCGUGAGGUGUCAGGUUAAGUCCUAUAACGAGCGCAACCCCUGUUGUUAGUUGCCAGCGAGUAAUGUCGGGAACUCUAACAAGACUGCCGGUGCAAACCGUGAGGAAGGUGGGGAUGACGUCAAAUCAUCACGGCCCUUACGUCCUGGGCCACACACGUGCUACAAUGGCCGGUACAGAGAGCAGCCACUACGCGAGUAGGAGCGAAUCUUCAAAACCGGUCUCAGUUCGGAUCGGAGUCUGCAACUCGACUCCAUG
rnacentral:rRNA from 1 species